rnacentral:rRNA from 1 species
UACGUAGGGUGCGAGCAUUGUCCGGAAUUAUUGGGCGUAAAGAGCUCGUAGGCGGCUUGUCGCGUCGGAUGUGAAAGCCCGGGGCUUAACCCCGGGUCUGCAUUCGAUACGGGCAGGCUAGAGUUCGGUAGGGGAGAUCGGAAUUCCUGGUGUAGCGGUGAAAUGCGCAGAUAUCAGGAAGAACACCCGUGGCGAAGGCGGCUCUCUGGGACGGUACUGACGCUGAGACGCGAAAGCGUGGGGAGCGAACAGG